UACAGAGGUCUCAAGCGUUGUCCGGAAUCAUUGGGCGUAAAGAGCGUGUAGGCGGCCCGAUAAGUCCGCCGUGAAAGUCCAGGGCUCAACCCUGGGAUGCCGGUGGAUACUGUCGAGCUAGAGUACGGAAGAGGCGAGUGGAAUUCCCGGUGUAGCGGUGAAAUGCGCAGAUAUCGGGAGGAACACCAAUUGCGAAGGCAGCUCGCUGGGACGUCACUGACGCUGAGACGCGAAAGCGUGGGGAGCAAACAGG
rnacentral:rRNA from 1 species